rnacentral:rRNA from 1 species
GUUGUAUAGUCAAGUAAUUAAGUGCAUGUGGUGGAUGCCUUGGCAGUCAGAGGCGAUGAAAGACGUGAUAGCCUGCGAAAAGCUCCGGGGAGGCGGCAAAUAUCCUUUGAUCCGGAGAUUUCUGAAUGGGGGAACCCACCUACUUUAAGGUAGGUAUUGCAACAUGAAUACAUAGUGUUGCAAGGCGAACGAGGGGAAGUGAAACAUCUCAGUACCCUUAGGAAAAGAAAUCAAUUGAGAUUCCCUCAGUAGCGGCGAGCGAACGGGGAUCAGCCCAUUAAGUUAUGUGUGUUUUAGUGGAACGCUCUGGGAAGUGCGAACGUAGAGGGUGAUAUUCCCGUACACGAAAGGGCACACAUAAUGAUGACGAGUAGGGCGAGGCACGUGAAACCUUGUCUGAAUAUGGGGGGACCAUCCUCCAAGGCUAAAUACUCCUGACUGACCGAUAGUGAACCAGUACCGUGAGGGAAAGGCGAAAAGAACCCCUGUGAGGGGAGUGAAAUAGAUCCUGAAACCGCAUGCAUACAAGCAGUGGGAGCACCUUCGUGGUGUGACUGCGUACCUUUUGUAUAAUGGGUCAGCGACUUAUAUUCAGUAGCAAGGUUAACCGUAUAGGGGAGCCGUAGGGAAACCGAGUCUUAAUAGGGCGUUUAGUUGCUGGGUAUAGACCCGAAACCAGGCGAUCUAUCCAUGAGCAGGUUGAAGGUUGGGUAACACUAACUGGAGGACCGAACCCACUGUCGUUGAAAAGCCAGGGGAUGACUUGUGGAUAGGGGUGAAAGGCUAAUCAAGCCUGGUGAUAGCUGGUUCUCCCCGAAAGCUAUUUAGGUAGCGCCUCGGACGAAUACCAUAGGGGGUAGAGCACUGUUUCGGCUAGGGGGUCAUCCCGACUUACCAAACCGAUGCAAACUCCGAAUACCUAUGAGUACUAUCCGGGAGACAGACUGCGGGUGCUAACGUCCGUAGUCAAGAGGAAAACAAUCCAGACCGCCAGCUAAGGCCCCAAAAUCAUAGUUAAGUGGGAAACGAUGUGGGAAGGCAUAGACAGCUAGGAGGUUGGCUUAGAAGCAGCCACCCUUUAAAGAAAGCGUAAUAGCUCACUAGUCGAGUCGGCCUGCGCGGAAGAUGUAACGGGGCUAAAACUAUGUGCCGAAGCUGCGGAUUUGACAUUAGUCAAGUGGUAGGGGAGCGUUCUGUAAGCCGAUGAAGGUGUAUUGAGAAGUAUGCUGGAGGUAUCAGAAGUGCGAAUGCUGACGUGAGUAACGACAAAACGGGUGAAAAACCCGUUCGCCGAAAGACCAAGGGUUCCAGUCCAACGUUAAUCGGGGCUGGGUGAGUCGACCCCUAAGG